CCAAGACAUUAUUAAAAUGCACUUGUUCAGUUUUUUGGAGGUUUAUUUUCUUGAAACACAAAGGUUAGACACCAACAGAUGGAGCUGUUGAUGCAUUAAUAAGGUUCAGUUUCACAUUUGUUUUCUGGUCUAUGGCUGGAGCUUGCUUAUAAAAAAAAAGGAGAGAGAGAGAGAGAGAGAACAAAAAAAGAACAAAACAACAAAAUCCCUAAUGCUAAGCUUUUAUCCAAGAUGUUCUGCCCACACUGAACCGGUCACCAUUUAACUUUAACCUGAACUGUGGCCCAGGAAAUCCUUCAACAUAAAUAACCUUGGAAGCUGCCAUGACCAUUUUUGGAAUAUGCUCCCUCAAUAAAUCUGUUACUUUGUUGUGCAAUGUUGAAGUGUGCAGUUGUUUCUCUGAUUAAUUAGGGCAAAAAAUAAACUUGCACGAUCAAUCCAAGCUGUGACACGUUUCAGCCCUGGCUGGAACAUGUGGUAGAAAAGGCUUUAGAGCCUUCUAAAGAGCUCUACCCUGGGACUGUAUGAUGCAUGUUUGCUUUUAAGUUUACUUGAUUUUGCUAGAUAAGGUGGUUACUAACAAAGUUUCUAAUUAAAGUUUUUGCCUGUCACAGGAUUGCCAUGGCAAGUUAGUAAGGGUAGGACUGAACAAAGUAAGAAAUCAUUUGUCUUGACCACCUGCCCUCUCUAAAGACAACGUAACAGAACUGUUUUACGUAAUAGUGUUUAUUUUAUUUCACAUAUUACCCAUGGAGAACAGCUGAUACUUUCUCUACAUCUUUCACCAGUUCGGAAUGCAAGAUUAAAAAAAAGGUAUGGAAAGAGUUUAACAGCGUUUGACAUUCACAAUAUGAAAAAUAGAGGGGAUACAAUGUCUUAAAAUGCCCUUAUGCAAUCUAUAUAUAUAUAUUUAUAUAUAAAAAAGUAUAAAAAUAAAAUAUAUUUUUCCAAAAAAAAAAAGAUACGAAUAGGACAUGACACGGGACAAUCUUAAAUAUCGAUACGAAUCUCAUGACCCACACACACCGCACUUAUAAUUAACAAAAACCAUGUACAAUUGCACUUUUCCUCUCUGUGACGUUCAAGUAUGUCGCAGUCCCCGCAGGGACUAGUGAGUGUCCGAUUCCCUGCCGGGUGCAGAUAACGCAGAGGGUAGAGCAGGUGUGGGGGACCUUUCCUUGCGGAGGCUGAACGAGGCCUGUCAAACAGUCCGGGGCAGCGGGCGAGGCCGCGGCCACGGGCUCGGGGGGCGCGCAGCCGCGGCCGCCCGGGGGCGCAC
rnacentral:lncRNA from 1 species